GACGAACGCUGGCGGCGUGCUUAACACAUGCAAGUCGAACGGAAAGGCCCUGCUUUUGUGGGGUGCUCGAGUGGCGAACGGGUGAGUAACACGUGAGUAACCUGCCCUUGACUUUGGGAUAACUUCAGGAAACUGGGGCUAAUACCGGAUAGGAGCUCCUGCUGCAUGGUGGGGGUUGGAAAGUUUCGGCGGUUGGGGAUGGACUCGCGGCUUAUCAGCUUGUUGGUGGGGUAGUGGCUUACCAAGGCUUUGACGGGUAGCCGGCCUGAGAGGGUGACCGGACAGAGCGGGUGUGAGAUCGAGACCAGAGCGCGACGGGAGGCAGGAGGAGGGACUAGUGCAGAGGGGGAGGACGCAUGAUGCAGCAACGCGGGGGGGGGGGUGAGUGCAUGCGGUGUGGCAACCGCUGUCGCAUGGGAGGAGGGGUGAAGGACGGGAGUGGGAAAAGAAGCACCGGCUAACUACGUGCAAGGAGCGGCGGAAAUAGGGAAGAGCACCGGUCUCAAU
rnacentral:rRNA from 1 species